GGUUUCGUAGUGUAGUUGGUUAUCACAUCAAUCUACCACAAUGGUGGUCCCCACUUCGAGCCCGGGUGAAAUUA